rnacentral:rRNA from 1 species
CGGGGGGGGCAAGCGUUGUUCGGAAUUACUGGGCGUAAAGGGCUCGUAGGCGGCCAACUAAGUCGGACGUGAAAUCCCCAGGCUCAACCUGGGAACUGCGUCUGAUACUGGUUGGCUUGAAUUCGGGAGAGGGAUGCAGAAUUCCAGGUGUAGCGGUGAAAUGCGUAGAUAUCUGGAGGAAUACCGGUGGCGAAGGCGGCAUCCUGGACCGACAUUGACGCUGAGGAGCGAAAGCUAGGGGAGCAAACGGGAUUAGAUACCCCGGUAGUCCUAGCCCUAAACGAUGAAUGCUUGGUGUGACGGGUAUCGAUCCCUGUCGUGCCGAAGCUAACGCAUUAAGCAUUCCGCCUGGGGAGUACGGUCGCAAGGCUG